CUGUCUUCCCCUCCGCUCUACAGAAUGGGCGUGUUUCUUGUGAUGCGGACAUAGAGAGGCUCACACUGAACGAGGGAUACGUCAACGGGACACAUUACAGGAUGGAGCCUGGUCAAGUCGUCCAGGAGACGGUUACCGUGGAGGAGGACCCGCACGAGGUGCCCCCCGUCAUCUCUGUGGAAACCAGCGAAGAUGGCACCACGCGCCGCACAGAAACUACGGUAAAGAAGGUAGUGAAGACUACCAUGACUCGUACAGUCAUCCCCUCUGUGUCUGACAACCUCUCCCUGGAUGAGGGGGGUCUAUGACAGGUGUAGGGGGUUACACCAC